GCCAGGCCACGCCUUCAGCGAAGAUGGCGGCGGCCACGCGGGAAGAAGAUGCGUUCCGUCGCCUCUUUCGUUUCUAUCGGCGGUGGGAGGGGUCGGAUCCUAGCGGGGUGAUUGACUUCUCGAAGCCAGCGGGCCAGCAGGUGGUCACCUAUCCUCUGAAGUUAACCUCAGUAAGUGAUCAAGAUGCCUAUAGAGCAGGAUUACAUCCAGUUACCCAAUGGAAAGCUUAUGGUCUACAUAAUUAUCCAGGAUUCAUAUAUAUUAAUAAUCCCUUUCUUCCGGGCUCUCAGUGCCAUUGGGUGAAGCAAUGUCUAAAGAAAUAUAUCCAGAAACCUAAUGUGUGCAAUUUGGAUAUGCACAUGUCUUCUGAAGAAAUUGCUGAUAUCUGGGGAAAGAGUAAAUUUCAGCUUCGAAACAAAAGUGCCAGUAAAUCACAGCCAAAAAGCUUAUUGGAAAAGUUGCGCUGGGUAACUCUAGGUUACCACUAUAACUGGAAUACAAAGAAAUAUUCAGCAGAAAACUAUACCCCUUUCCCAUCUGAUCUGGCUUUCCUGUCAAAGCAAGUGGCUAAAGCUUGUGGAUUUCCCAGCUUCCAAGCAGAAGCAGGGAUCCUGAACUAUUAUCACUUUGAUUCAUCUUUAGGAAUUCAUGUGGAUGAAUCUGAACUGGACCUUACUCCGCCUCUUUUAUCGUUCAGUUUUGGACAGUCAUCCAUAUUUCUGCUGGGAGGAUUGAAACGAGAUGAAACCCCUGCGGCCCUGUUCACACAUAGCGGAGACAUUAUGAUAAUGUCUGGUUUCAGCCGCCUACUGUAUCACGCAGUUCCCAAGAUCCUUCCCAAUCUAGAAGGAAAGCCUUUGCCUUCUUCCUUAGAGCUACCGCUCUCUGCUGAAUUUCCUGCAGACUCUGUGAUUGAGCUCUGUUCCGAUGAAGAUUGGAAAACGUGUGCCAGAUAUUUGGAAGCAUCCCGUAUUAAUAUGACUGUGAGACAGGUACUAGCUGAAGGUCAGAGCUUCUUGACUGAAACUAGGACAGAGAGCAAACAAAAUGCCUUCUCCACAGACUAUCAUGGAAAAUAUACAGAAACCAUAACACACAAGCCUAUUAUCAACAAAUGAACCCAUCUUUUUUUCAUCAUGACUUCAGAGACAUAAAAAGCCAACACACAGCAGAAGAAAUGGGAUAUGCCAUUGAAAGAAAAUUGAUUAACUGUGAAAAUAAGUAUCUAUAUGAACUUCACAGUCAAAGUGUAUAGCUCAGGAAAGGCGAAGUUAGCACCACAACUACCCCUCAACCAGUCCCGAGAACCAGCUCGCUUUAAACGCUUCUCCAGAUGGAAACCUCUUGUGUUGGGCGUAGCAGUGAUCGUCCUCACCACCCAGUUUCUUCAGAUCCUGAAAACCCUAUUAACAUCACCCCAGCCACCUUGCUGACCCAGAAGACAGAUGACUGGCCAGUACCAGCAGGGAACUUCGUUCCCAAAGACAUGUAUUGGAACUCAUGGUCUAUGAGACUUGGACACCAAGUGAUGAUGGACUAGUUCGCCAGAUUGAAGUUCAGGUCGCAAAGCCACUGGAGUCACAUCAUGACCAGCAGACUUUUGCCAAGAAGCUCUACACCAGACAAAUCACCAAUUUGCCUUCUGGGGUUGUGGGUGAUCUAUCACUGGAAGUUUGUAAGAAAAGACUGGACAACCAUUUGUCAGGGAUGGGAUAAGAACUUCUGCCUUGGGCAGGGGUUAGACUAGAAGAUCUCCAAGGUCCCUUCCAGGCCUAUGAUUCUACUAUCCAAUGACCUUGUCACUCAUAUGCACCUAAACAUAGAACAUGCUGUUUUUACAUCUUUUUUCUGCUGUCCUUAUGACAUUGCCUUUUAGCAAAUUAACAAAUAAAUAGUUUUAGUUAUGAUCAAAGACCAUCUGCUAGUUGCACACUAUAUAGUAGAAACCUUUAUCACUAAUAAAAUGAAGAAUAAGCUUAGCAAUCUUCUAGGCCCAAUCAGAAAUAGCUCUUAUUUGUUAUCUGCAAACAACAGAAGAUUAAAAAUAGCCCCAAAUAUAUAAAUGGUUUAAUUAUUUUACAUGGUUUCCUCUUUAUAUACCAUAAGCAAGGAUUCAGAAGCUCCUCCUUAGAAUUACUUGAGUUGUGCACAAGAUGGCUUCACAGACUGAAAUGGAUUAAAUGUUAAGUUUGGAAAAACCUGGAAGAAAUAAUUGAUGUAAACAUUGAAAAGGAGAAAGAGAACUCUUACUUAAUCCUUUAGGAUAAAAAAUGAGAUGUACAAUAUACAACACCUGAUUUUCACUGCAGUAUUUUCAUAUAACCGUGAAGCAGUAAUGGAUGGUCCAUAGAAGAACUUGCACAUUUUAGCCAGAGCAAAUCUUUAGGAA